UUCCCAAUCAAGUUGAACAUUUGGUAUGUGAGAAAUGAAAUGCCAAUUUUCACCUUUUUUAUUUGCACAUCUUUCGUUUAACAGGGGACAACCAACAAUUUUCAAUUCUUGUAGAGAGGUGAGGGAACGCAUCUCCUGAGGAAAAGACGUUAAUCUUGGGCAAUCAAAUAUCUGUAAUUGCUGAAGGGAAGUGAGAUUCUGCAGUCCAUCUGGCGGUAGAGAUUCAAGUUCCUCAACGGUGUUAAUGGAGAGAUUCUUCAAUUUAGACAGAGGAGGAACGAUAGACAAAGAAGAAGAAGAGAUUGAUGUUGUGAAUAUUUGUUGCACAAGUUGCGCACUUACAUAAAACAAUUCUAAUUCUUCAUCGAGAGAUGGAAGCUGAGGGAUCCAACUCAAAUUAGGACAAUAAUUACAAAUGAACUGAGAAAGACGAGGAAAUUGGAGUA
rnacentral:misc_RNA from 1 species